UACGAAGGGGGCUAGCGUUGUUCGGAAUCACUGGGCGUAAAGGGCGCGUAGGCGGCCGAUCAAGUCGGGGGUGAAAGCCUGUGGCUCAACCACAGAAUUGCCUUCGAUACUGUUUGGCUUGAGACCGGAAGAGGUAAGUGGAACUGCGAGUGUAGAGGUGAAAUUCGUAGAUAUUCGCAAGAACACCAGUGGCGAAGGCGGCUUACUGGUCCGGUUCUGACGCUGAGGCGCGAUAGCGUGGGGGAUCAAAACAGG
rnacentral:rRNA from 1 species